rnacentral:rRNA from 1 species
UGGGGAAUAUUGCACAAUGGGCGAAAGCCUGAUGCAGCGACGCCGCGUGAAGGAUGAAGUAUUUCGGUACGUAAACUUCUAUCAGCAAGGAAGAUAAUGACGGUACUUGACUAAGAAGCCCCGGCUAACUACGUGCCAGCAGCCGCGGUAAUACGUAGGGGGCAAGCGUUAUCCGGAUUUACUGGGUGUAAAGGGUGCGUAGGUGGUAUGGUAAGUCAGAAGUGAAAACCCGGGGCUCAACCCCGUGGAUUGCUUUUGAAACUAUCAAACUAGAGUACAGGAGAGGUAAGUGGAAUUCCUAGUGUAGCGGUGAAAUGCGUAGAUAUUAGGAGGAACACCAGUGGCGAAGGCGACUUACUGGACUGCUACUGACACUGAGGCACGAAAGCGUGGGGAGCAAACAGG